UGGAAGUGGUCUGAACGAGUUAGGGCUUGUUCUCUCGACCUAUUCAGAUUAUUCAAAAUCUGUGGUAGCCACUGGGAGAGCUGGGAGAGAGGAAGAGAAGAGCUUCUCUCGACCUCUGCAGGGAUCAUCUAUGGUCGCCGCAGGGAAAGCUGGGAGAGAGGAAGAGAAAAGUGAAGGUUUCAUUUGAUAGAAGUCUGAAGAAAAAUCUUCUCUCGACUUCUGCAGGGAUCAUCUCUGGUCGCCGCUGGUUAGCUGGAAGAGGGGAAAAGGGGAAGAGAGGAAGAGAAGAGUGAAGGUUUUAUUUGAUAGAAGUCUGCAGGGAUCAUCUAUGGUCGCCGCUGGUUCGAGUCUACAAAGCAACAGAAAGCUAUCCAGGAAUUCAUUAAGGGGUAGAAGGCUAGACAAGCACAUUCAGUGGUCUUUUUCUGUAUUAUGACAUGUACUGUAGUAACGACUUCAGCUUUAUGAGAUCCUGUAGAGCAUUCUUUUCAUUUGCCACUUUGUUAACAAAAAAUUUCAAAAAUGAUCUGGCCUCCUUGAAAAGGUUUAGACAAUAUAUUGGAAGCUAGGUACUUACAAGGCAAUUAAUAGAACACUAUUUACAGGUCUGCUCAUUUAGUAGAUGUAUGCUAGUUGAAUGAGUUGGUGCAGCAAUGGCAAUGGUAAACACUAUUGUCUAGUUGAUUAUCUGAACCUAAGAAAUUUCUAAGUGCAAAGAUUAACUCAAUGGCAUUCAGGUGUGCCCGUUGCAAGUCUUUUGAAGCACAAGAUGUGAGAGAUGUCCUGAUUCAUUGUCCAAGUAUCCAGAAACUAUGUGAUUGACCGAUGGUUCGGAACAAACUGUCUCCAAUUACAUACAUAUUUUUUUCAUUGCUAUGAGAUGAAGUAGAUUCUCUACAUUUUAAUGUGAAAAUACUCUUUGAACUUAAAAGAACAAUUUCAAAAGUUUCCGUUGAGAGGAGGAGCUUCCUAUAAUCUAGAAA